rnacentral:lncRNA from 1 species
GUGUCUUUGCGCUAACUCCUGCCCAUUCAAAUGGCAGUGCUAGAGAGAGAGAGAGAGAGGAAGUGGAAAGUUUCUUUCUACAUCAGCCAAAGAUAAACACAACAGACACAACCAGCAAGCUAUUGCUUGUAACAGAUAAACUGUUGUGGAAGCAGGGACCACAUUUUCUGGAAAUGUCUACAGAACAAGCAUCAUUAUAAGUUAUUGGCUCUAAAUGAACUCCAAGCGAAAAGAGAAAACAAAGUGAGAAAAAGACUGCCCAUAACUAAUUCAGAUACCCGAUCAACAUUGGAAUUCAUUUUGAAAGGUGGUAACCAUUGAAAGAUCUGAAAGGGUGGAAAAGUGACACCAAAAUGGCCACCAUUCUCAUGGACAGGGAGAUACUGCUGGAGUCUGAUUUCGAGGAACCUGGCUGAGGCUGUAAGUGGUGUGGAAUUGCAAAACUUAAUGCUAAGAGGCUCUCAGAAGGUGCCAGAACGUUGAAUGAUGACUUUGCAGGCCAUGGCUGAAAAACAGUAGCGCAUUUGGAUAGUGGUCGAUCUGAGAACAAUGAGACUGGGGGCACGUGCACGAGAAGACUCCAUGUUUUUAUUUUUUCGUCUUUGAACGAAAACACGGUUUCCCGGUCGGAAUAUUACCGCUUUUUUACGAGAAAAAUUGCAUAAAACUUGAUUUUAAACAGCGUUUGACACAUUUAGAUAUUUUUUGUCACGAUACGCGCCGGCGCGUCACCCUUCGGAUAGUGUCUUGAACGCACGAACAAAACAGAGGAUAUUUGAACAUAACUACGGAUUAUUUUGAACCAAACCAACAUUUGAUAUUGAAGUAGAAGUCCUGGGAGUGCAUUCUGACGAAGAACAGCAAAGGUAAUCAAAUUUUUCUUAUAGUAAAUCUGAGUUUGGUGAGUGCCAAACUUGGUGGGUGUCA